rnacentral:misc_RNA from 1 species
AAGUCGUAACAAGGUUUCCGUAGGUGAACCUGCGGAAGGAUCAUUACAAGGUUUAACUGUCGUUCGCCUUCGGGCGAUUCGGCAGACCACGAUUCAUCCCUAUGUGCACUCAUCGAACAAAAGGCCUAGGCGCGAAAGUCUUCUCUCGUGGAGGACGAGCGCAAGGUUUUUAUUUUUCAAACUCGCUUUAAAUUUUUGCCUGAAUAUAUAUGAUUGUAAAUAAUCAAAAAAAUACAACUUUCAACAACGGAUCUCUUGGCUCUC